CUGAGAUAGGCACAGGCUCCCCGUGACCCGAGAAGUUCGGAUAAGCGGUAGAAAAUGAAUUUAAGGGUUUCUGGGCUUAUCCGGUGUAAAGGGCAAGAAAAAGGAAUGUAGGAGUAUUCGCACACGGUACGAAAAAAGGUGCAGAUCAAGAGACAUGAUCGUGAAAAAGACUGUGCUGUAAAGGACGCUGAAGAAUUGCGGGAAAAGAUACCUAAUGAGGCCACAAAUCUUCAACAGCAUGCGACUGAGCAUUGCUAUUUUAUUUUUAUGUUUAUUCAGGACAUGUUUGUCACAGAACAAUGCAAUCAUUGUCACUUUUAAUUUUGUAUUAGAUUUUUUUGUAUUAGUUUUUAAUUUUUUUUUUUUUAAAUUCACUUUUAAUUUUGUAUCAUAAAAACUGACUGCUGUGCUGCCAUUGGAGAUUUGAGGUUUUAAACAACUUACACAUAACAAUAAAGUUUGUAGUAUUAGAAUGCGGUUCAACAUUUUUUUUUAAUCACUGGAGAUGAUGCACAUAACAUGUGUUUUAUAGAUAUUUGUAGAUUAGAUAUUUGGGUUUGAGAUCAAGAGAUUAACAUGAGAUUUGUAUAUUUAUGGUACAU